AUUGAACGCUGGCGGCAGGCCUAACACAUGCAAGUCGAGCGAGCGGCGGACGGGUGAGUAAUGUCUGGGAAACUGCCUGAUUGAGGGGGAUAACUACUGGAAACGGUAGCUAAUACCCCAUACCAUCAGAUGUGCCCCGAUGGGAUUAGCUAGUAGGUGGGGUAACGUCUCACCUCGGCGACGAUCCCUAGCUGGUCUGAGAGGAUGACCAGCAACACUGGAACGGAGAAACGGUCCAGACUCCUACGGGAGGCAGAAGUGGGGAAUAUUGCACAAUGGGCGCAAGCCUGAUGCAGCCAUGCCGCGUGUGGGAAGAAGGCCUUCGGGUUGUAAAGCACUUUCAGCGGGGAGGCGUUACCCGCAGAAGAAGCACCGGCUAACUCCGUGCCAGCAGCCGCGGUAAUUC
rnacentral:rRNA from 1 species